UACAGAGGGUGCAAGCGUUGUUCGGAAUUAUUGGGCGUAAAGAGCGUGUAGGCGGUUUGGUAGGUCCGUUGUGAAAACUCGAGGCUCAACCUCGAGACGCCGGCGGAAACCAUCAGGCUAGAGUCCGGAAGAGGAGAGUGGAAUUCCCGGUGUAGCGGUGAAAUGCGCAGAUAUCGGGAAGAACACCCGUGGCGAAGGCGGCUCUCUGGGACGGUACUGACGCUGAGACGCGAAAGCGUGGGGAGCGAACAGG
rnacentral:rRNA from 1 species